rnacentral:pre_miRNA from 1 species
GCUAAGAUGUAGCCUUUAUCUGCAUUUGCACCUGCACCUUCUUGUUUUUAAUUAUCUGCUUCUGCUUCAGAAACCAAAUGUGUUUGUUUGUGAUGUUGAUGAAAAUAGAAUAGGACCAAAACAGAAAAUAAUAAUAAGGUGCAGGUGCAGGCGCAGCUGAAUGCCAUUUUGGC